rnacentral:misc_RNA from 1 species
CUCAUGAGCUCUAUACUCUGCAGAUACUAGCCUUAAUCUUUUCAUUUGCGCCGGCUGUUAGUCCCUUGAGUUUUAGCUAUCCUGCAGUUUUUAACUUCGGUGAUUCAAAUUCAGACACUGGUGGUCUGGUUGCCGGAGUGGCUUUUCCAGUAGGACCUCCCAAUGGACAAACCUACUUCCAGGAGCCGGCAGGGCGGUUUUGCGACGGCCGCUUGAUUAUCGAUUUUCUGAUGGAUGCGAUGGACCGUCCAUUUCUGAGUCCAUAUCUGGAUUCUGUAGGUGCCCCUAACUUCCAAACGGGGUGUAAUUUUGCAACUGGAGGAUCUACUAUACUUCCAGCAAAUGCAAAUUCCAGAAGUCCAUUUUCAUUUGGAAUUCAGGUGGCUCAAUUUAUCAGAUUCAAGGCUCGGGUUCUUGAAUUACUAGCUAAAGGAGAGAAAUUUCAGAAGUAUCUCCCCCCGGAAAAUUACAUCAAGCAAGGCCUUUACAUGUUUGAUGUGGGUCAGAAUGAUCUCGACGGUGCAUUGUACUCGAAAUCAGUGGACCAAAUGCUAGCUUAUAUUCCCAAAAUCUUGUCAGAGUUUGAGACUGGAAUUCAGAGAUUAUAUAACGAGGGUGCCAGGAAUUUCUGGAUUCAUAGCACAGGACCACUUGGCUGCUUACCCAGAAUUAUUGCAACAUUUGGGAAAACCGCAUCAAAGCUCGACCAGAUUGGAUGUGUUAACUCACACAACCGAGUAGCAAAAGCUUUCAACAAACAGUUACAUGAUCUUUGUACAGAGUUUCGAGCACAAUUUCCCGAUGCUAGUGUCACUUAUGUGGACAUUUUCUCAAUAAAGUGGAACCUCAUUUCAAAUUUUUCUCAGUAUGGUAAGUAAAAUCCAAUGGCCUUUUGCAUCGUCAUUGGUUCUUAUUUACAACUACAAAAUCUUAUGAACAACGGCUUUUCAGGCUUCAAACAGCCUUUAGCAGCCUGCUGUGGAUAUGGUGGGCCGCCAUUAAAUUUUGACAACAGGAUUGCUUGUGGUGAAACCAAGAAUUUGAAUGGUAGCACAGUGACUGCAAACCCUUGCAGCAAUACUGCUGAAUACGUGAAUUGGGAUGGAAACCAUUAUACAGAAGCAGCAAACCGAUAUGUUUCAGACCAAAUUCUAUCAGGAAAUUACUCUGACCCACCUCUAACAGUAAACAGGCCAUUUAAUUACAAACCAAAGUUCAUUAAUUACAAAAUGUUGUACUAACUGUUCUUUGGUUUCCUUAAAUUUUUAUGCCAAAUGACUGCCAAUAUCGUACUAGUUCCGUUGAGAUUGGUUGGGUCAAUGCUUAGGAGGACACAUUAUUAAUGACAAAAAAGAGAAGAUUUCUUAUGUUAAUCUGAAUUUGUGUUAGAUUGGCUCCAUCUGCUGUCAGUGAUCCUUUCUCGGUAUUUAAAGAAUGAGAAUUGUGAUCUUUUAUAUAUAUAAUAAUUUUUUUACAAAACGU